rnacentral:misc_RNA from 1 species
AUACUACAGCGCAGGUUCCUAUUCACAUCAAGAACACAGUUAUAUAACGAGUGAUACGCUGUUAUACGAUGCACAUGCAGGCAUCACUAGUGAUACUGAUUGUUUUUUGCAUCCAAUCCACGAGUUCAAUGAACUGUUUUCCGAAACGUCGUCCGGUUAUCUUCUCUAUCAAGGAUUUUGUGAAUACGAAACAGCGCCUAUGGACGUACAAAAUAAGUAAGCCAGUACGCAUCCGCUGCCAGAACAAUCAAGUGCGUUUUAUAACGGCGGAGCACGUUGUUUACAACAGAACCUUUGUGUACAACGGAAGAAGGGAAAGCAUUGUCCUACAGGGGCAAUUUCACACACAACACAGGAAUUGGAUGGAUGUGAGCAAUGCAGAUUUGGAACCGAUAUUUCUCUGCAGAGAAACAUUGAUAUAUAUGACUAAUAAUGCAUCAUGUGGCGUCGUGAAGAUCGACCCAGCAGGAAAAAUACGUCAGUGGACCCGUGGUGGGCCCCGGCAUAAAACACUUUCGUGUUAAAAACACGUAUUGUCGUAGAGCUGAAUGCAGUUCCCCGAGACACUACACACCGCAGGUUAUCACCCUGUUCGAAGGUCCUUGGUAUAGCAUACUGUUUCACGAGGC